ensembl:lncRNA
AUCUAGAUGAUAUUGUGUUAUCUAGAUGGUAGUGUGUUACUUAUCUAGAUGAUAUUGUGUUACUUAUCUAGAUGAUAUUGUGUUACUUAUCUAGAUGGUAGUGUGUUACUUAUCUAGAUGGUAGUGUGUUACUUAUCUAGAUGAUAUUGUGUUACUUAUCUAGAUGAUAUUGUGUUACUUAUCUAGAUGAUAUUGUGUUACUUAUCUAGAUGAUAUUGUGUUACUUAUCUAGAUGAUAGUGUGUUUCUUAUCUAGAUGAUAGUGUGUUACUUAUCUAGAUGAUAGUGUGUUACUUAUCUAGAUGAUAUUGUGUUACUUAUCUAGAUGGUAGUGUGUUACUUAUCUAGAUGGUAGUGUGUUUCUUAUCUAGAUGGAGCCCAACUCUUCAGGGUAUAGAUUUGUGAGAAUGUUAAGGCAGGGAGAGAAAAAAAGGAAAACCGCUCACUGAAAGGUCAGAACACUUUUUUGUUUGUUUGUCCUACAACAUUUUUGAAGAAAUGUCUAGGAAACGUGACUGUGCCUUUGUAGACAAAAAGACUCAGAGAAACAGGCGGUGUUUUAUACAAGCUUUAUUACAACUUGGUUAACAGCUGUACAUGUCAGAGCGUAGGAAGCACAUUUUAUCAACAAGUUUCAAAUGGACAGGUAACUAUGACCACUAAUGUCCUCCUCCACUGUUUGUUAGUCCCAUACAGUGUGUACAUAUUAUACAAGCAGCAAUAUAAAACUUGGCAAAUGGAAAGGUUUUUUGCUACUUUAUUUUUUAAUGUAAAAUAAGUCUUUCCUAUGAAUAAAAAAUACAGCAACCAUAAAACCUGGCGAUUAAGUUCUGACUGAAAAGCCUCAGUUCUUUAAACUGUAUUUUCUCCUAGAGGUUUUUUUAGCCUCUAGGAAAACCAGAUUGAACGCUACGCUCACAAUUGUUUGAAACAUUCAGUCUGGUGUAACUAUGCUAGAGGUUUAUUGUCCUGUGUAGAACACUGGCCUGGUCCCAGAUCACUUGUCAAGACAGCACACACUGAUCUGGGACCAGGCCAGGAGACUAACCGAUCUGGGACCAGGCCAGGAGACUAACCGAUCUGGGACCAGGCCAGGAGACUAACUGAUCUGGGACCAUGCCAGGAGACCAACCGAUCUGGGACACAAGUAGUAACACGUUGCCCUACCAAUCAUAUCACCACAUGUCAGGAGACUAGUAUUUAACACAAGUAGAGACACGUUGCCCUACCAAUCAUAUCACCACAUGUCAGGAGACUAGUAUUUAACACAAGUAGUAACAGCCAUACAAAGUUCAUCAGUUACAUAAUAAUAUGGACACAUCCUUUUAUUAUAAACUGAAAAAAACACAGUAUCAGCAACAAGUCAAUAAGUCUAGUCUUACUCACACCGGUUUGGUUUUUACACUCGAGGCGAAAGCACUUUCAACAUGUUCAUGAUAUAACAUGAUAGGAAAGAUCCUCUUUGACUUCUACCCGUCUGUCCAUUGGUUAGUGGUCCAUUAGUGACGCAGCGGGUCUAGAGGCAUCGCUACAGACCCGGGUUCGAUCCCGGGCCCAGUGUCGUCCGGGCUAGGGGAAGGUUUGAACAGGGUAGGCCGUCAUUGUAAAUAAGAAUUGUUCUUGCUUAGUUCAAUAAAGGUUCAAUAAAAAAUGAAAACGUGUGUUUGUUCUCGUACUAAAAUGAAUGUUUUAUACUGGACAGGUGGAGGUAGAACAUCCCCAUUUCAGUCCGUUUUCUAACGUUUGGUGCCUAAUGAACAUGACCCGGGACAGGGCAGUCUUACUACGUGGGCCAUCUGCUAAUGAACCACGACCCGGGACAGGGCAGUCUUACUACGUGGGCCAUCUGCUAAUGAACCACGACCCGGGACAGGGCAGUCUUACUGCGUGAGCCAUCUGCUAAUGAACCACGACCCGGGACAGGGCAGUCUUACUGCGUGAGCCAUCUGCUAAUGAACUACGACCCGGGACAGGGCAGUCUUACUGCGUGGGCCAUCUGCUAAUGAACCACGACCCGGGACAGGGCAGUCUUACUGCGUCGGCCAUCUGCUAAUGAACCACGACCCGGGACAGGGCAGUCUUACUGCGUCCGCCAUCUGCUAAUGAACCACGACCCGGGACAGGGCAGUCUUACUGCGUCGGCCAUCUGCUAAUGAACCACGACCCGGGACAGGGCAGUCUUACUGCGUCCGCCAUCUGCUAAUGAACCACGACCCGGGACAGGGCAGUCUUACUGCGUCCGCCAUCUGCUAAUGAACCACGACCCGGGACAGGGCAGUCUUACUGCGUCGGCCAUCUUGCUGUAUUUUUUCAAAAAGGCUCUGCCAUGGCAUCCUAUCAACAAGCCUACUUGUUUUAUAAAAAGGUUAGAGAAAGGUUUUACACAUUUUAUACAAUGUAGGAAAUGUAUGAAUCUAAGUCAAUACUGCAUAUGUAUGCAUGAAUCUAAGUCAAUACUGCAUAUGUAAGGCGAAUAAAAACAGGAAUACAUAUCAAAGUCAUAAAGGCUAGAUAGAAGCAUGUGAUCUCUUCUACCAAUUUAAAGAGAGAGAAACACAUCGAGGUUAUUAUCAGUGAAAUAAAGAAGCAGAGCACUCCUUACAUAGAGAAGUCAUCAGAACACUUAAACGGAAAUACAUGGAAACUGAACAUCUAGACUGAGUGUAGAAAACAUUAAGAACACCUGCUCUUUCCGUGACAUAGAGCCCCCCAACUCAACUCUGGAACAGUUUGAAUCCAGGUCUGAUUUAGACAUGGGACACCAGGGCCUGAUUUAGACAUGGGACACCAGGGUCUGGUUUAGACAUGGGACACCAGGGCCUGAUUUUGACAUGGGACACCAGGGUCUGAUUUAGACAUGGGACACCAGGGUCUGAUUUAGACAUGGGACACCAGGGUCUGAUUUAGACAUGGGACACCAGGGCCUGAUUUAGACAUGGGACACCAGGGUCUGAUUUUGACAUGGGACACCAGGGCCUGAUUUAGACAUGGGACACCGGUGCCUGGUUUAGACAUGGGACACCAGGGUCUGGUUUAGACAUGGGACACCAGGGCCUGAUUUAGACAUGGGACACCGGGGCCUGGUUUAGACAUGGGACACCGGGGCCUGAUGGGACACCAGGGCC